UAACUUUUGCCUCUAGCUCUUUUUACUUUGGAUGAUUAUUUAUUGUUGGACCUUUUGCUAUGUAAUUAUACCUGUCUUAUUUGCAGGAACAACGUUGACAAAGGGGAGGCAUUAGAUAACCUGGAUAUCAUAUAUCAUAUUUGUUCCUUUAUUUGAAGGGUGAGUGGAUUCUAAAUAAUGACAAAUGGUUAUGGGAAGUUCUUUGUUAGGUCGUUAGAUUAGCCACCGCGAAGUUGGAAUCUGUUUCGCAUUUAGAUUGAGCCUAAUCUGUAAUCUUUAUUUGCAGAAAUUUCUUUUGGUACGAGGCAUGCUUUUUGGGAUCUUUGAGUCCUUUGAGUUUUUGGGUUUCCUGUGUUUGCAUUGGGAGAUGAUACCAAGGCUUUUCUGAACUUGAUGGAUAUUGACUAAUUUGAAUGUUGAUGAAUAUUAAUUCGGUGUUAUGGGUUUCUGUUUUGUUAUAACACACACUUGAUGGAUAUUUACUAAUUUGAAUGUCUGUUCUCGAAUGCAUAUUAUAUUUUUAUUAACUUCAUAAACUUGGUACAUUCACUUUGAUACUUAGAAAAAAUAAGUGUGAUUUCUAAAUUCCUUGGCUUGGUCAGACUGAAGGGAGCCAUGUUGGCAUAGGUAGGCUUUGGGUUUAGUCUGUCCAAGAGUUGAACAAAGAUGUAAAUGGAACUAGGAGCACUGGAAUAAUUGGUGAUAGAGGAUCCAGAGAAAGUCAGGUUUCGGUCGAUCACCCCAAUCUCCUUUUCAAGCACAGUUGCUGCCCUGUUUUGGCAUAAGUCGAGUGCGAUAGAGCCUAUACUUAAUAUCCAGGGAUUCAAGGGAGGUUCCAUUGAAAUCAAAACUCCUCCAUCUCUUUCUGGAUAAAAGUAUUUGCUUCCUCAACCUACAUUAAAGUGGGAGAGGAGAGGCAGCAGCCAAUACACCCAAGCGGAUAUUGAUCAAGUGCGAAAUGAGUGGGGGAAGUUUGUUGUCAACACAUGUGCACGAGUCAUGAAGUAGCGCACUUGUUGCUGGUACAUUUUAGAUAAGGAAAGCAUCUUUUUUGUGCUUCUCUGCUGGUACAUUGUCAUGCACCAUGUGUGACAUGUUUUGGAACAAUAUAUAUGUGUAUCAUCUUUUUGAUGUCCCAAGUAGAUGGUCAUGCACUAGAAUGCUUUUCUUGUGUAAAAUAUUGGUUUUA